AUCGCCCAACCAAUCACGACGGCGAGCGCCAGUACACGCUGCGGUUGAAAGCAUCUGUUCAGUAACAAUUGGCCAAAGUAAAGUCAUCGUAGCAACCAAUCCGGAGGACGAGCGCUUGCAGUCUCGGAAGAGCGCAAGUGCGCGCUGCUAUUUUAUUUGAAAAAUCCUAAAUUUUAAUAUUUGCGUGCUAUGCGACUUCUUAUGGCAAGGGGCAUUCAUAAGGAAGGAAAGAUGAAAGAGGUGCAGAAUGCUUUAUGAAUGGGAGCUGUGGUAGUCAGAAAAUGGAAGCACACUUUAAGAAGUAACAUAUCUUUUGACCAAGUUUAAUUCCUGGUACCCACAUGACCCUGUGACUGAAUUCUGACACUGAGAGACAAAAUGACCACAGAUGUGAAAAAGAACAAUAAGAGCAAGAGAAACUUCUGACUUCAUGUCAACUUCCCGAAUGAGUUCCAUGAUCAGAAACUGGCAGGGAACGCCAGUAACUUUUCUUCCUUCCUCAUUGCCCCUUCUCUUCCCUUUUCAGCGGACAGUUAAGUGUCAGUUGCUGAUUGGGGAAGGGAGCAAGCCGGGAUUGCAAGAUUGGCUGAAAAACUGCUACAGGAUGUUGAAGAUACGGAUCAAGUGACUAUAGCAGCAACCAGUAGUAUUAAAACAGCCACAAUUUCCCCAAA